CAGAGAGGAGGGCCUCUGGACAUCAAAGGGUCCUUUUGUCCCCUUCGGAGUGGCAGGGCAGCCCGGCCGCUGGCGAUGACUCAGGCCUGGCCCUGACGUCACCCACGCCCGGCCACUGGCCUCCCUCUGCAGCCAGGAAACCGGCUGGGGAGUGGCACUCGCAGCUGCAGCAAAUCUCAAAAUAAGGAGGCCACAGCCUUUCUCCUCCUUUCCACCUCCUCACAGCACACCUUUCUUUCUUUUUCUUCUUCUUUUUAUCUUGUUUAAAGCCUCGUGGAAGGUUUUGCUUGUAGAUCAACUUUCCAACGUAGGAAGUCAGAAUGAGUGACAUCAUCAGAAAAGUAUGUGGAGCUGAUCUCGACAAAGAGUGAAGAACCCAGAGCGAGAAAGCGCCUGUAACUCCUGAGCCCAGGGAGUUGGCAGCGUCUGGGCUUCAGAGGAGCAGCUCAACCGAAUCAGAUUGUCUGGAAGUGAGGCUCUGCCGUAAAACUGUUCUUCUGCAAGAUCUAAAUGCUGUGAUCACUGAUUUGUUGAACCAAGACUCUGAGGCUGAUAUGCAAUGUCACUUACAACAUUAAUCAGAUACCGCAUUUAAGUGGUUUGAUUUUCAGCAAAUGUGACAGUGGCCUUUGCAGUGGUCAGCUCUGAGCUUUGAACUCUCAGAGGAGCAAGGAAAAAAAAUUCAACACACCACCUC